UUACAAUCUCUUGUAUGUUGCCUUAUCAUUUUGCUGUGGUUCAUUUUGUAUUUUAGCCUGUUUUCUGUAUUGUGAGAUACUGAAAGUAAGCACGUCGGUCCAGUCGAGCUUUUAGUUUCUCUGGCUUACUGUUGGGAUUCUGCACUCGGUUGUACAGUGUAAAUGUAUGCCAGCCUUCAUUCGUUUCCAAACCCUAAAAGAUCAUUCACCCAUCAGCAAUUGAAAUCUUACUGGUGAUUUUGGAUUGACUAAUGUAGAGAUUUUCAAAAAGAAAAAAGUUUGUGAUGUUCAUUUCACCGACAGAGAUUGUAAUCGUAAUAACCGAUUCCAUCUCUUCAUUUGAAUGGCUUUCAUGGAAAACUUCCUUACCCUAGUGAAAUGGUCAGUCAGGAAAUGAAUGUGAACACCCAAUUAGAUGCAGGUUGUUCUGAAACAAGUACCAUGACAAAGCUACCACCAGCUGCACCAUUGAAGCACCAUAUCAAUAUUAAGUCAUCCAUAUCAGUUGUCUGUGGCUGAGCAUCUACUUCUGCAGUGACCACUCAACAGAAUGUUUAGCACAACAUGAAAAGAUCAUCAAAAAGACAUUCAGAAUACACUGCUAUAAUGCUGGACCAAUGUUAUUGCAAGAAAAGAUCUUCAAAAGGUUGGUGAUACUCUAUAGGUUUACUGUUAUCUCUUAUUGACUGGCACAUACUAUUGGAUAGGAUUCUUGUUUUUGUAGUGUUUAUGUUUAGCCCGACUUUUUGACUUUCCCUGUCUAGUGUUGAAGCAUUUUUUCUAGUUUUGUAGCGGUCUCACUGGGGACGGCUAUGUCGUCUGCAAAUCUAAGGUGAGUUAGAUGUUUGUUUCUUAUUCAGAGACCGUUUUUAUUCCAUUCUAUACCUUUGAAUACAUUUUCGAGGACUGCUAUAAAUAAUUUUGGGGAAAGUGUGUCACCCUGUCUUCCGCCUCUUUCGAUACGAAUUUCUCGACCUUUGUUUUCUAUCUUUAUUUUUCUAACACUAUUGCUGUAUAUGUUCUGUAAUAUAUUUAUAUAUUUUCCAUUUACGUUUUUUUUUACUUUUUUAGCGCUUCCCAAAUGGAUGUAUGCGUUAUAGUGUCGAACGCUUUCGCAUAGUCUACAAAUGCUAUGUGGAGUGGUUUGUUAAAUUCAUUAUAUUUUUCGAUGAUUUGUUCAAUAGUGUGGCUAUGGUCUAUAGUAGAAUAUCCUGGGCGGAAACCUGCUUGCUCUACUGGUUUGUUAUUGUCAAUUUUUGUUGAUAUUCUGCUCAGUUAAUACUGUGUACUUCAAUAAUUUGAAGAAAACAAUUUAUAUUUCACAGAUAACAAGCUGAUUGGCCUGUAGUUCUCAAUGUCUAGUGGGUUGCCUUUCUUGUACAGCAAUACUAUAUCUGAUUGGCGCCAUUGUUUUGGCACUUCUUCUUGAUCUAUUACCAUGUUAAAAGGUAUUGUCAGAUAUGGAACCAGGAUAGGUGCUCCAAAGUUUAGGGCUUCGUUAGUUAUGUUGUCUGGCCCUGGGCUUUUUACUGACUUUAGGGUUUUUAUAUGAUGCAAACUUCAUCUUUACUUAUAGGCAUGAUUAUUGUAUUAAUUUAAUAUAUAAAUUUAAUUUUCAUUAGUGUAUUUUUUUUAACCUAUCGUAUCUGGAGGUACGGCAGUGUGACCGCGAAAGUCGAGUCGAGCGAAAAAUAGUACUAUUCUUUUCUCGAAGCAGUUCGGGCCAUAUUCAACUUCGUUGUGUAUAAUAUUAGAAGCCUGAAUUUUCAAAGAAAGGUAUAUUUUCUAAAGUCAAAUUUCUUUAUUUUAUCACUCACUCACUCAUUGACCGACCAACAAGACCGAGUUAAGCUAUAUGAAGUCAUAUUUAGAAUAAAGUUAGUGUUUAGUGUAAAAAUAAAGGAUAAAUUAAAAAAAAAUGGUCGGAUUUCAUAAUCUUUUAUUAUAUUUUUAUGGGCUUACAAAGUUAUUUAUUCGGUGAAUCAAUCAGUGUAAUAAUGGAAUAUUUUGAGUAUAUAUGUACGCAAUUGUAUCAGUAUGUAUGGGCAUAAAUAUUUUAAUUAUCCUUAUAAAUAUCUGACUAAUAGGUAACUUAAGACAUAAUGUAGGGACUGAAUAAAUUGCACAACUUCUUACGGUAGAAUUACUGCGUUGCUAGUAUGAUAUGCUUAGGGACUAGCAUAUCGCCUCACAGUCAAGCUGCCUCGAGACCAUCAAGUGACACGGUGACAUACCUGCCGUUGUUUUCAAUGUGUAAAGUUAUUACUGUUGAUUUAUUUGAGUAAGAUUGCAAAAAUUAAUCAUUGUAUUGACUAUUUCCUGUCAUUUGAAUGAGCGAUCGAGCCGCCAUCUUGUCGAGGCGCAAAAUUGUCUUUACCUCACUCUGCUCCAGGCCAUUUCUGAUUUAUUCCAAUUUGUAUCGUGGUAGGAAGCAGACAUAUCACUUACAAGUUAAACAGUGAAUAUAUUUCUUUAUUACGGA